CAGAGUCUCAUCAGCUCACUGUUUAAAGCCCUGAAGGUGCCACCCCCAGCCUCAGGCUGGGACUCUAUGAACCCGGUGGACAUUAACUACCUCCUCGUUUUAAUGGAGGACAUCAUCUGUCCGUGUCCGGAGAGCACAGAGGGACCGGGGUUCUGGGAGGAAGCCAAAGGGAGAGAGGACCCUAUCACCUCCACGCGUGGGUCUGUGAAACCGAAAGAGAACACGUGGCACUCCAAGCCCGAGCUGGCAGUACGCGACCUUUGGAGGGACAGCGUCUACAGGCGGUGUCUCUACCUUCAGCUGGAGCACGUGGAGAGGGAGCUGCAGCUGCUGGGGCCCCAAGGCUUCCUGCAUCACCACAGUCAUGUACAGGCCCUCAGACAGCUACACGACCUGAAGGAUCACCUCUGGGGACAGCCUGGUACCCCGGCACUGGCAUAUCCCAGGUAAUCCACUUCCUUGAAUGCUCCUGGCCUCUCCAGCCUGGGUCUACAGGCUAGGUCACCUUGUCCAGUCUUGGAAAGACGUCCACCCAGACCAUGCAAGCAGAAGGGACUAGAGGUUCCCUUGAGUACCCUCAAAGCCAUCAGGGGUUAAGGACAGGGUUACUUGCUGGAAGACACUCAGCCCUUUGCACAGAGCUUUGCUGUUCAUGACCUUAUUUGUGGCGGUUGUUGUCCAGUCUGCCAUGUAGGAGCAGUGUCUCUGUCUCUCUGUGCCUCGGUUUCACUGAUUGAAAUAUACACUU